GUGCUGGGCUUGGCAGCACAUACACACACUAACAACUGGCACAAUACAGAGAAGAUUAGCAUGGCCUCUGCACCAGGUGUCACAAGUUUAAGUAUCAGAUGAUUUCU
ensembl:snRNA U6 U6 spliceosomal RNA